rnacentral:rRNA from 1 species
ACGCAGCGAAAUGCGAUAAGUAGUGUGAAUUGCAGAAUUCAGUGAAUCAUCGAAUCUUUGAACGCACAUUGCGCCCCUUGGUAUUCCAUGGGGCAUGCCUGUUCGAGCGUCAUUUGUACCCUCAAGCUUUGCUUGGUGUUGGGUGUUUGUCCUCUCUGGAGGACUCGCCUUAAAACAAUUGGCAGCCGGCAUAUUGGUAUCGGAGCGCAGCACAAGUCGCGCUUCUUUCCAUGAAUGUCAGCAUCCAUCAAGACUAUUUUCACUCUUGACCUCGGAUCAGGUAGGGAUACCCGCUGAACUUAAGCAUAUCA